UCAUUUUUCACUCUCAUAUUUUUGUUCUAAACCUACAAACUGAAAGCUCUUAUGAAAGCUCCUAUGUCAGAUGGUAAGAAGAGAUCCAACAAAUACAUGCAUCAAAAAUCAAUGGCUGCUGCUAAUCAAAUAAAAGAUGUUAUCUUUCACAGCAAAAACAUUACAGACAUAUAAUGAAUGAAACAUCACUGUUGAGGAAGCAGAUGAAGAGAACAAGAAUAAUUAG